GGGUGGUCUCCGGAAGGCUGCGUAAGAAACCAGCAAGAGUGACCCAUGCCAAAGCAAACUGGCUCCGAACAUUGCCUGGCCUCUGUACCCGUAGGCAGCUGUCACUGAAGAGGGUCACACAGUG
rnacentral:snoRNA from 1 species